rnacentral:RNase_P_RNA from 2 species
GUGAUGGGUCGCCCCACCGCGGCGCCUUACGCAAGAAUGGCGACGAGGAAAGUCCGGGCAACGCAGAGCACCCUGCUUCCUAACGGGAAGGACUGGUAAGCGUAAAGUAAGCCAGGACAGCCAGUGCCACAGAAAACUACCGCCAGGCGGUGAAGUUGUGAAAGGUGAAGUUGUGAAUUUCACAAUCUCACAAAUUCUCAAUUUCACCUUUGGUAAGGGUGAAAAGGUGCGGUAAGAGCGCACCAGCGGCCGGGCAACCGCGUCGGCUGGGUAAACCUCAGGGGUUGAAAGACCAAAUAAGCUGGUACGUGGGCCUUCGGGCCUGCACCGGGCGGCUCGUCCGGCGCCAGCGGGUAGGUUGAUGGAGCCUUUUCGCGAGAACUGGCCUAGAUAAAUGGUGGGGCCGCGGCAACGCGGACAAAACCCGGCUUAUAGACUCAUCACCCAC